rnacentral:rRNA from 1 species
ACAGUCACACAUUAGAUACCCGUGUAGUCCCAGCCCUAAACGAUGCGCGUUAGGUGUAUCGGUGACCACGAGUCACCGAGGUGCCGAAGGGAAACCGUGAAACGUGCCGCCUGGGAAGUACGGCCGCAAGGCUGAAACUUAAAGGAAUUGGCGGGGGAGCACCACAACGGGUGGAGCUUGCGGUUUAAUUGGAUUCAACGCCGGAAAUCUUACCGGGACCGACAGCAACAUGAAGGCCAGGCUGAAGACUUUGCCGGAUUAGCUG